AUGGCUCAGGAUGAACGCUGGCGGCGUGCCUAACACAUGCAGGUCGAACGGGACCUAUGUAGAUCAAGACUUCGGUCAAGUGAAAUUUAGGUUAGUGGCGGACGGGUGAGUAACGCGUGAGCAAUCUGCCGUAUGCAGGGGGACAACAGAGGGAAACUUCUGCUAAUACCGCAUAAGCGCACAGUAUCGCAUGGUACAGUGUGAAAAGCUCCGGCGGCAUACGAUGAGCUCGCGUCUGAUUAGCCAGUUGGCGGGGUAACGGCCCACCAAAGCGACGAUCAGUAGCCGGCCUGAGAGGGUGAACGGCCACAUUGGGACUGAGAGACGGCCCAGACUCCUACGGGAGGCAGCAGUGGGGGAUAUUGCACAAUGGAGGGAACUCUGAUGCCAGCGACGCCGCGUGGGUGAAGAAGUAUUUCGGUAUGUAAAGCCCUAUCAGCAGGGAAGAUAAUGACGGUACCUGACUAAGAAGCCCCGGCUAACUACGUGCCAGCAGCUGC
rnacentral:rRNA from 1 species